rnacentral:lncRNA from 10 species
GUCGUAAAUCACUUUAAACAUCUCUCCUCCUUCUUCCCUCACCACUCCCCAUUCUUUCCUUUGAAGGAGCGGGUCUAUUUGAACCAGUGAUUUGUGACUUUCCAGUAUUUAGGGCACAACCCCGAGCUGGUUGCACUAACACACAGGCUGGGGAAAACGAGUACACUGGCCAGUGUUGGGAUCAGGGAGGAGAGAUUCUGUGUGUUCUGGGGGUGCCGAUGAGCAGAAGCUGGCUGCUCUGGGCAUUUUGGCUUGUGCCAGAGAUUAAUAGAGAAUCACCAUUCCUGUGUUCUGCCAGGCACCUCUUGUUCCUGGGCACAUCUGGAUGGCUUUGCCAGCCUUCUUUCAGUAAGGGAUGGCUGGAGCUGCUUCUGCUACAGAAAGAACCCAGCAUGGACCAGCUUCUUCUCACUCAAGCUCUGAAAGUCUGAAACAGGCAUCCAAGCUACCUCCAAGAGAACCAGAGAGGACAGCAACUUAAGCCCUAAGGAGCCCUUGUUCUUCAGAGGCAGCGGGGCACAGUGGAAAGAUUAUAGAUUGAGAGCCUGAGAGAGCUUAGUUCUUAGUAAUUGUGAGGCCUUCUGUUAUCAGUCCACCUUCUCUAAGCCCCAGGUUCCUCCCUUGUAAAAUGAGGGUCAUGGUCUCCAUUUUGAGGGGUUGUGUGAGCAUUAAAUAAGCAACUGGAGCUGCACUUUCAGGAUCCAAAUUUUGACUCCCCUACUUAUUAUAUGUGUGACCUUGGGCAAGAUACAUCAGCUCUCUGAGUCUGUUACCUCAUUGGCAAAUGGGGUUAAAGAACUCCAACUCCAUCAGUUCUUC